GGUUCGCCAGAAGCGGCUUAGUCAUGCUGGCCACAUGACCCGGAAGCUGUACGCCGGCUCCCUCGGCCAAUAAAGCGAGAUGAGCGCCGCAACCCCAGAGUUGGUCACAACUGGACCUAAUGGUCAGGGGUCCCUUUACCUUUAGGAUUGUUAUGAGGUACUACAAAUUCUUAAAUGGGGGCUGCACAGUGACAGCCUUACAUUUUAAUGUACAUUGAAAGAAAUUAUGUGCUGUUGUUGUUUUUAAAAAAACACCAUGGAAAAUUCCAAAUACAGUGGUACCUCCAAUUGCGAAUGGGAUCCAUUCCGGAGGUCCGGCCGGAUCCCAAGGUUUUCGCAACCCGGGGAUCACUGUUAUACGCAUGUGCGCAAUGGUAGACCGCUUCGGCGCAUACGUGCAUGGCAAAACCUGGUCAAAUACUUCCAGGUUUGCCACUUUUGCAACCUGAAGUUUACGUAACCCGAGGGUUGCAUAACCCAAGGUGCUAUUGUAUGCCACAAAAGGGGGUGAAUCUAAUUAUAAGAAAUCCUUCAUAGAUCAAAGUAGCAGCUUCCAUUUUCAGGUGUCUUAGUCCAAUCUGUAUCUAAUACAAGGUUCGCCAAUGUGAUGACCUCCAGAUGUUGUCAUGGUCAAUAGUCAUGGAUGAUCAGACUUGUAGUCCCAGAAACAUCUGGAGAACACCACGUUGACUAAAAAGAGAGAGAACUCGCUGUCUUUGAAAGGUUCACUUGAGCUAAGUUUUCAGUCCCAAAGAUGUUUGAAAUAGCUCAGUUUGUGCAUUAGCAUAACAUUCCAGGUUUUUUUCUCUUCCAUAUUUCUAAUGUUGGCAACUGAUCGUGUUUACAGUAUUUAGCCAUCUGUAUUCUCCCCACAACUGGCAGUGUUAUUAUCAAACAUCUAUCCUCAGUUUCAACAUAGCAAUUCACAUAUCGUAAUAAUAUAGUUAUGAGGUCACUAACAGGAUACCCAUGGGCACAACAGCACCCUCAGUCACUCUCCCUUGCACCUUGAUUUUUUGUUUGGAGGGGGUGUUGGCCAGUUUUAUUUUUGUUUGUUUUAUUUUUGGGGUGCAUACAGGAGUUUGGGCUGGGGGGGGGUUCUAAGCAUCAUCAUUUUCUCAUCUGUGAAAUGGGUAUUUUUUUGGUACCCGCAACAGUUCCUUAGCUUUCCAAAUGUGGCCCUGGGCCCAGAAAGGCUAGGGAUACCUGCUAUGGUUAAGGACAUUAUAUAAAUUUCAUAUUUUGCAAUAUUCUCAUGCAAAACAAAAUAUUCUGCUAUUUUUGUGCCAUCUUACACUCUGGCCAAAAAUGUUCCAGGUUUUAGAAUUAACUUGGCUCCAAUGUGUUUUAAAAUUAUAAUAAGAUUAUUUAUUUAAGGGAGCCAACUGGGCUCUAUUCUAGGUUGCUCCCUAUGCAGAGAAGCACAGAUGACAUUCAUGACUAGGGCAGGAAAAAACCAAAGCUUUAGACUCUAAAGCUGAGAGUGUCAUUUUUAUAGUAGUUUUUGAAUGCUCCAGAUUCUGAUUUCCCCCACUCCCUGUGAUUUUUCUCUCUGUGUCUCUCUGUCUCUCUCUCUGCACUGCAACAUAUUUGCAAGGCGUUUUAUCUCAUAUAUUACCAAAUAGUGUAUGAGAGAGGGAGCUGUUCAGAACGUGACAUGCAGGGGAAGCAAAGGGUGCUGGGCAGUGAUAUAAAGGGCAUCAUUGUUGCAGGGCUCCUAAACGUAAGCAAGUAUAUUCUGUAAGCUACAGUCCUCCCCUGGACGUCGCAGUCAGGAGCUGCAUACAUAAUUAACACCACCGAAAGGACAGGGCUGGUUUGCGUUCGCAAACCACACAUGGAUUUCAGCACCGAAUAACGUUUCCAGAAAGUGAUGCAAAACACAGCACCGCACGAAGCACAAAAUAGGGCAAGCAAGGAAUUCGGCAGCAGCUGAGGACAAAUUAUGCAGGCGGCUGGGUGCUCAGCCAAAGGGGCGAGGAAGCGUUAUCGACCGGGUAUGUAGAGUUUCUGGCCAACGUGGGAAUCAAAGUGGUGACAGGGAGCUGAGAAAGGAAGAGGUAAUUUGGCACUAUUUUCCGCCUCUUCCUUCCCUCCAUUUCUUCUGGAGAGAAACCAGCCACGCCAGUAGGAAGGAACGCUGACAGGACUGGCAGUUCCCCGGGAAAACUGGGUUUGAACAGGACACGUAAAUAUUGGUUUGCCCAUGGGAAAAUAGAAACCUAUGGCAGAAACAGUUUUGUGCAAUUAGGCUGAUGGGAAUCGUAGUCUAUAUUGCUGUCUGGAAAAUUUGAAGGGUCCCAGCUUAGGGAAAGCUGACCUGCACCCUUAUUUGACCCAAUGUUUCUCUCAAAAAAUAGGAGGUAGGGCAACAAUAAACACUAUAUUUCUUAUUUCCAGCAGAAAAACAAACAAAACCCAAAGACCCGUAAUAUAUGAAAAAGCAGUAUUGCUUUACAUUCCUAUCGGAACCACCAUUUUCAUAUGCAUUUCCCACUUAGCACAUAUAGCCACUUCAGCUCAUGAGAGAAUCCUUUCCUAUUUUAUUUAAGCAUUCGGGCAAAGCAUGCUUCAUAUCUGUCUUUGGCCCAACAUCCUUCCGUGACAUGGAAUGCCAGCCGUUGCUCUUGCAUCUGACAAUGGAAUCAAGCAAAUGCCAGCCUGUCAUAGUUCAAUUCACAGUGGACAGAUGGUUUAUAUAUGAAUAAAAUGAAACCCCAAAGAGGGCUGAGUAGACUGUCAAAAGUCCACAUGGAGAAGGACGGCUAAAGAGUUUGACAUGAACUUGAGGAACCUAUCAUUAAGUCAUGCUUCUCCUAUGGACUCAUUUAACCCCAAUCCAGCAAGGGAGGCACAUUUGCAAAAACAGGUUUCCAUGCGUGCAGCUGAUUUGACUGUACCUGCAGACUGUACUGCAAUGGUCACCAAGGCUCCCCUGAUCUGACUGGAGGUUUGUUUGUUUUUUUCCAUUUGGAUAGGGAUAUCCAUCCUAUCCACACCCGCCAGCAGAUGUGCAUGGCUCGAGUUAUCAUGUGGCCUCGGGCAAGCCACAUUUCCUCAGGUCACCAUCUGUGACAUUGACAGCUACUGCCCUGGCAAGGCUGUUGGGAGGAAGAAGACUCUGCAAACAUUUUUCAAAUCAAAAUGCUUCACUUAAGAAAUAAAGCAAUCAACUAACAGCCUGGCUACAUAUUCCAGUGUGCAAUGCUGGGAGCAGAGUGGGGGCCCACUUUCACCCCAAAACAAGGUGGGAUCGCCGUCAAAAUCGAGACCCAUCUGACCAAGAGCUGGUUUGUAUAAAACAAGGAGGUGGUGUUGGUGCAUCUUUGAAAUCCUUUCAUUUGGCUACUGUCAGUGGUGACACUGACGCAUUGAAUUGUGCCUCAGGCGCUUCACUUGCUCCACAUGGUGUUUGCUACCAUGUGGGAAGCUAGGCCUCCACAACAACUGAGGGCCAAAUCAAUAUAUGGUUUCCAUAGAGGCUGCUGAAAUUUCCUUUGAUGAGACAUCAAAGUGAUGCUGAAAGUCAUUUUUUAAAAUCGUCCAGUCUAAUCAGAUAGAGACUCUUCAUGCUAGGACGACACCAUCCUAGCAAGAUUCUCCAUGCUGAUAGCUAUUAGGUUUAACUGAGAGAAAGGUACCUUUCAGACACUUCAGUCAUGGAUUUACUUCAUGGGAUUCCUCUCCCACUCCAAGCCUCUAGGAAACUAGGAAAGGUUGAAAGGAAAUAGUGUCCCUAUUUUAGCUAGAACAACAACAUCAUCAACAACAACAACAACCACAACCUUGCACUCUCUCCUGCUGCUCCGCAACUUGGACUGCAUAACACCUUUCUUGGAAGUCCCACCUACCUUGGGGUGUGAAUGAAAGGAGCAAAACAAUUUGUUUUUGAUCCUAGACAGACAGACUUGAGAAAGCAGCUUUGCUUGCUCAGAUGGUGAUAAACACUGGGCUAUUGUAUUGGUUUUAUGGCCAGCGCUGUCUUUGAUGCAGAGUAACUUGGAGACAAUGUACUGAAAGGAAUAUUUUCUUUCACCUUUUAGCAUCCAAUGGCAAUCCCAAGAAGUUAAUUGCAAUGGGAAAAUGUCAUGCAAAGUUAAAAUGAAAUAAUGCUUCCUGAUCCUGAGUAAUUCAUUUGACCUGCUCAGUUGCCUGCUGUCUCCUGGCACGUUGUUGCUCCUAUGGUAAUAUGAUCUUCAAGAUUGUGGGCUUCACCAUUCUAGGGAGCAAGAUGUUAGACUAGAUAGACCUUUGCUUUUCCAAUCUGAGCUGGAAAGAGUGUGGUAAUCUCUCGGGCUGGUACCACUACAGAGAUUUCAUCUAUUUGUCCUUUCAGUGACCAAACUGCUGGUGCAAGAGAAAAUAUAGAAAGGAGAAUUCCUGGAUGCCAAGAUCCAAUAUAGGCUGUUAGACCUUUAAAAUAUGCUCUUGUGAGUGCCAAAAACUUCCCUCUAGCAUAGAAAAAGACCAUGCAUUUGGUAAUUUAAAAAUGGUUUACUUACCAACUCUCCAAUGGUCAGAUUCAUGUGCUUUUCCGUACAGCAUUCAUAAAAAGUUGCACAGGAAGUAACGCUUAGUUUAGUUCCAAAGUGGAGAAAAUUCCUAAAUUACGGGUAUAGAAACUCAAGAGUGGCUUGUGAGAGCCAUGCAGCUAAGUUGAAGGAAUCAGCUUAGCUUUUUCACAUGCUGAGUUCAUCAGGAGACUGGAGGAACAAAGGCUUGAUAAACCUAGUUCCUGCCAAGGUGAGCUAAGCCUGGCAGGACAGCUUACUCUGUGGUCUUAACCCCUUCAUGCAUUAAUUUAGUCUUAAGCCAGAUCUGCACCCUACAUUAAAAGCACUGUUGUACUACUAUAACAGUCUUGGCUUCCACCGAAGUAUCCUGAAAACUGUAGUUUGAUAAGGGUGCUGAGAGUUGUUAGGAGACCCCUAUUCCCCUCCCAGAGCUACAAUUCUCAGAGUGGUUUAACAAUCAAUCCCAUCCCACACACCUAGGUGACCUGCAUCUUCCUGGUAUUCAGUCACCAGGUCUGAGGUUCCCUACUGAUGAUGUAGCUGAACACACACACACACACACCAAUUCAUGCUGCAAAAGCAUACAAAUUCUUUUAAUUUAGUAUCCGCUUUCCAAAUAUAAAUUAACAGCUGUAUUCACAGUAUGUCAUCCAACUAAUUCAGCUACUUGAAGAAGCCUGUUAGAUCUCUCGGUGCACCGAGCAGCCUCUUCCUCUGAUCCAUUUUUCCUUUUCUUCUCCUUUUUAAAUUUAGGGUGAAACAAGAUUGUUCCAAGAGUCCAGCACAGCAGGUAAACUUGCUUUAUGUUGCCUGUAUGCUUCCCUGCAGCCAAGCGCAUUUGCACAUCAACAGUAUUGCUUUGCAGCAGGGCUACCCAGUGACAUUAUCUUCAAAAGUACUUCAAGGCCAGUGGAACGCUGCGGGGAGCUCUGCUUUUUUUAAAAAAAGCGAGAGCCAGGAAUAAAGGAAACCUCACAAAACUUAUUUAUG